GGAUGUGAGGGCGAUCUGUCUGCGACAUGAACAAAAUAAGAAUAAAUUGAUUGCCAGGGUUGAUUCCACUCAUCUGGCUGGCUAGACAGGUGUCCCCUUCCUCCCUCACUGCUCCAUGUGCUUUCCUCCCUAAGCUGUGUGUUCAGUUGAAGAGGACGACCUUCCCCGAUAGAGGAGAACCAUUCUUCUGUCAAGGGUAUACGAGUAGCCAUGCUCCACUGCUAGAUUUGCCUAUUAUGAACAUUUCAUAUAAAUAGAAUCAUAUAAUGCAUGACUUUUGACUU
ensembl:misc_RNA 7SK 7SK RNA